AAGGGUAUUCUGGUAAUUUGAGGUUGCUUCUGGGCUUCAGUCGGUCAUAAAAUAUGCUCGGCCCGCAUUCUGGAAUCCAUAUCGAUCGAUUUCAAGAGUUCUGCAUCGAUCGACAAACGUUCCUCUUCUCAACAGCUUUCUCUCGCGAGGUAGACUGACCACUCUUCAGUAAAACGGGCAUAACCUCUGUUACAGGAUGCUGAUUGACCUCAAACCAGUGGCAUUAGAAAGCUAACGAAAAACUAUAUGUUGUGUCAAAAGAUGAGCUCAAUUUAAUGGUCGGAAGAUCUCCAUCCAUAGUUAGACAUCGGACGCGUCUGUACAGUUUUGCACCUCAAAAGACUCCAAAAUCACCAUAUAUCUCCAGAACGUACCUGAACCUGUAAAUACUCUAGAUAGACUCUAUAUAGUAGUAUAUAUAUAUUAAAACACUUAUAGACCAUGGCUAAAAGUUGGUUAAAUACAUAGUCUAUCAACUCCCCAGACUUAACCUUUUGCUUGUCCUCAAGCAAAACAAACGGGCAGUCUCUCUGAAAGAGGUUUGAAAACAGCAGAGAAUCACAUGAUUUAAAACUUAGAAUCAUCAUCUCUACAAUAUUGCGAUUUACAUCUAAAAAUUCCUAAUCAUAAAAGCACAUUAUACUAUAUCCUAGCUUAGCAACCAAAUUCACCUAGCCAACAACUUAGCAAAUCUUGUCUGACAUUCCCCUCUACCAACCUUAUUUCUUAACAUAAAUAAAAGUGCAUGCUUUACCUUGGAAAUAUCGAUCACAUGAUGCUAGGAUUUUCAAACAAGUAUAUGGAUCUGCAGGUAAAAGUUAGUUCCUAUCUUUUCUCUCUAUUAAUUUCUCUCUUUAGUCAUAGUCUGGUUAUAUUGCAAGAUCAUUGACCAAGAUUGGACAGGCUUCCAUGAAUCAAGCCUUAAUGGUGGUUGUCACCAAAUCAUGUUCACUUCUUUUUUACCUAUAUCCAAAAAUUCAUAUGAAUCGAACCUUCAUGAUUGCCGCCACCAAGUCCCGUUCGAAUUCUUUUUUGUUGGAAUCCUUAUGAACCAAGCCUUAAUGGUUGUAGCCACCAAAUCAUGUUCGGAUUCCACUUAACUAACACAUAUUAUAUAUAUAUAUUUUUUUCUUUUCUUUUCUUUUUUUCUUUUUUUUUUUUUUUUUUUUGUUUUUUUUUUGAAAAUAAAUAUCUCUACCUAUAAAUCUAGGGUCGAACUAGAGAGAGAAAAGGUGAUAAAUCUACACAAGGCUUUACCUUCCAGACUUGUUUGAAGAAUCCGAUCCCAUGUAUACCAAGUCCCAAGACAAGCAGUUGUGUCAGGUGUAGUGUUGGAGGUUAGCUUUGGUUCCUUCAAACAAUCUCAGCAAGUGUGAAUAGUUGACAGGUUGAUCCACUUUAGUAUAUUUAGUACUAUCUGCAAUCAAUAUGUCUAGAAUGAUGCUAAAAAGUGGUUAGCUAAUAAGUAAAAAUCUAAUAAGUUCAUUAUCCCCUUCUUGACUUAAUAAAAUCUUUUGAAAACAUUUUGAUAAGACUCAUGAACACACUAAUAUCAGUAAACAUCCCCCCAAACUUAAAUUACACUGUCCUGAGUGUAUAUCUAGUCGGAGUUAUGGUAAUAAUUAAUCAUAAGUACAUAUUUUAACAAGUAAGAACGAUGACCUGCUCAGUGUCGAUCGAGACAACGAAGUGACAAUCGAUCGUUGUUGAUGAAGCGCUGUCGACUGAUAGCGACAUGGUCUCAUUGGUCGAUGGCUAAAGCAAUCAUUCGACACAAUGAAGAGACAAUCGAUCGUUGGAUCUGAAGUGAUGUCGAUCGAUAUCGAGCUGGUCUCAUCGGUCGAUGUACUGAGCAUUCGUCCACUGGGAUCUGUUUUUUUUUAAUAUAUAUAUAUCUACCUGAAACACAAUAUUAGUUGAACCUCUCCUAGACUUAAAUAACACUAUCUCCAGUGUUACACAGUCUAAGAUUGGUGGGGAAAUAAAUCAUAAAGAUAAUAUUUAGCAAGGAAAAACAGUAUACCUAAUUUUGAUAUAAGUGUCGACCAACACAUUUAAGUGGCGAUCAAUACUGUUGAAGCUCUGUCAAUGGACACAUUUAAGUGGCGAUCGAUCGAUGCUAGUGAUGCUUUGUCGAUCGAUGUUGC
rnacentral:lncRNA from 1 species